rnacentral:rRNA from 1 species
CAGCAGCCGCGGUAAAACGAGGGGUGCAAGCGUUAUUCGAAUUGAUUGGGUGUAAAGGGUGUGCAGACGGCUUAUUAAGUCACUUGUUAAAUUCUUCGGCCUAACUGAAGGUCUGCAAGUGAUACUGAUGAGCUAGAGGGUGGAAGAGAGAAGUGGAAUUCUCGGAGUAGCGGUAAAAUGCGUAGAUCUCGAGAGGAACACCAAUGGCGAAGGCAGCUUCUUGGUCCAUUCCUGACGUUCAUACACGAAAGCGUGGGGAGCAAACAGGAUUAGAUACCCCCGUAGUCCCUGUCUCUUAUAA